ACGAACGCUGGCGGCGUGCUUCACACAUGCAAGUCGCACGGAAAGGCCCUGCUUUUGUGGGGUGCUCGAGUGGCGAACGGGUGAGUAACACGUGAGUAACCUGCCCUUGACUUUGGGAUAACUUCAGGAAACUGGGGCUAAUACCGGAUAGGAGCUCCUGCUGCAUGGUGGGGGUUGGAAAGUUUCGGCGGUUGAGGAUGGACUCGCGGCUUAUCAGCUUGUUGGUGGGGUAGUGGCUUACCAAGGCUUUGACGGGUAGCCGGCCUGAGAGGGUGACCGGCCACAUUGGGACUGAGAUACGGCCCAGACUCCUACGGGAGGCAGCAGUGGGGAAUAUUGCACAAUGGGCGGAAGCCUGAUGCAGCAACGCCGCGUGCGGGAUGACGGCCUUCGGGUUGUAAACCGCUUUCGCCUGUGACGAAGCGUGAGUGACGGUAAUGGGUAAAGAAGCACCGGCUAACUACGUG
rnacentral:rRNA from 1 species